rnacentral:RNase_P_RNA from 1 species
GAAGCAGUACAGGUGAUCGCUGGAUUGAAAAAUCUGGAGGAAAGUCCGAACACCAAAGGGCAGGACGCUCCAUAACGUGGAGUCACGGUGACGUGAAGGAAAGUGCAACAGAGAGCAGACCGCCCCUUUUUCUGUCUGAAAAACACUGGAUCUCAUGAUUUAUCACUUGUUGAUAUUUCAAUGACAUCUUUUGCCAUUCAGCAGCAGGGGGUAAGGGUGAAACGGUGCGGUAAGAGCGCACCAGUUUUCCAGGUGACUGGAAAAGCUUGGUAAACCCCGUCCGGUGCAAGACCAAAUAGGGAAGUGUUUGAGGGCUGCCCGUCCAAGCUUCCGGGUAGGUCGCAUGAGGUGUGCGGCAACGUACAUCCCAGAUGAAUGGUCACCACCCUGUUUCGGGGUAACCUGAACAGGGAACAGAAUUCGGCUUAUGGACUGCUUUCACC